GUGUUGUAUGAAAGGAGAGAAGUUUAGCACUCCCCUAGACAAGGAUGGAAUACAAUACACAUGGUUAAGGCACACCUUGACCACAAUUUUUU